UACGAACCGUCCUAACGUUAUUCGGAAUCACUGGGCUUAAAGGGUGCGUAGGCGGCCCGGAAAGUUGGGUGUGAAAUCCCUCGGCUUAACCGAGGAAUUGCGCCCAAAACUACCGGGCUCGAGGGAGACAGAGGUGAGCGGAACUUAGGGUGGAGCGGUGAAAUGCGUUGAUAUCCUAAGGAACACCGGUGGCGAAAGCGGCUCACUGGGUCUUUACUGACGCUGAGGCACGAAAGCCAGGGGAGCGAACGGG
rnacentral:rRNA from 1 species